GGGGCUGAUUCUGGAUUCGACGGGAUUCGCGAAACCCAAGGUGCAUGCCGAGGUGCGGUGGCCUCGUAAAAAACCGCAAAAAAAAUAGUUGCAAACGACGAAAACUACGCACUAGCAGCUUAAUAACCUGCUUAGAGCCCUCUCUCCCUAGCCUCCGCUCUUAGGACGGGGAUCAAGAGAGGUCAAACCUAAAAGAGCUCGUGUGGAAACCUUGCCUGGGGUGGAAGCAUUAAAACUAAUCAGGAUAGUUUGUCAGUAGCGUGUCCAUCCGCAGCUGGCCGGCG
rnacentral:tmRNA from 1 species